AGAGACGUGCUUGGAUUUUUCUUUUUGUGUGUGUGUGUGUGUGUGUGUGUGACAAAUUUGAUCUGGUGAAAGAACUUUGCAUGCUAAAUAAUUUCAGCUGCUAUUGUUUUGAUCGUGUUUUUCAUGUGAAAUAUGGGACUGAGAUGGUAGAAGAGAGAGAACAGUGGAAUCAGGCCUGUGGGUACAGAAUAACAAAAUCAUUUUGGAAUAUUUGUAUUGGAUAUUUAUUGACUUAUAUUUUACGGGUUAUCGCGCCAGGUUGUCUUGCACGCCUUGCCGCCCUGCUCCCUCACUGUAAAAGCCUCCAGGAGUCAGUCAGUGUGGCAGGCAGGGACUCACAUCCAGGCGCUCAUAUACAAAGCCAGCACGUUUCACUCUGCAGCAGCAGCAGCAGCAGCAGCAGCCGAGCGGUGCUGAAGCUGAGCACCACCUCCAGCAUCACACCAGCGAGCAGCAGAUCGGGGAGGGUUUGUCAGGCACAGUUGGAGGGACCGACGGAGACAAACCAAACAAGCUCCGGACUCGAGCUCCGGUCGACGAUCAUGCUCUGUGGCCGGCGGCGGCUGCUCGCUGGUCGCCGGCGGCUCGCGGUCAGUCGGGGCUGUUGUGUGAGCGGAGGUGUCGCUGAGCAGCGCUGUCCGAGGUGCUGAGCAGCCGCCGACAGAGCGUCGUUCUUCCGUUACCUCCAGUCCAGACAGAUACGCAUGAACUGACGUGAAUGCCGAGCGGCUCAACGAGGCGCAGCAGCCCGCCGGUCAGAGUCAAUGGGACCGGGCGAGCGUUAGAAAGAUGGAGAGGUUCGUGCUGCUCGUCCUCGGCGGUCUCUGCGUCUCUAGAGUCACAGCGGAUAGCUUGUCGCCUCCCGUCAAUGUGACCAUCAAAGCGGUGAAAGCAAACUCUGCCGUGGUGACAUGGGACAUCCCCGAGGGAGACCCCGUCAUUGGCUUUGCAAUCACACAGCAGAAGAAAGACGUGCGCAUGCUUCGAUUCAUCCAGGAGGUCAACACCACCACACGCUCCUGUGCAUUAUGGGACUUGGAGGAAGAGACAGACUACAUAGUGCAUGUCCAGUCGAUCAGCAUGUCUGGUACAAGCCCGCUGAGCGAACCCCUGCGCUUCCGAACGCCGAAGGAGGCCGAGACUCAGGCCUCUAAAAGUAAAGACGAAGUGACAAUGGAGGAAGUGGGCCAGACCACCCAGCUGAGGGCAGGGGAGCUCAUUAUCAUCGUGGUGGUGCUCAUCAUGUGGGCAGGUGUGAUCGCUCUUUUCUGUCGCCAGUACGACAUAAUCAAAGACAACGAGCCCAACAACAACAAGGACAAAGCCAAAAACUCCUCAGAGUGCAGCACUCCUGAGCAUCCGACAGGGGGGCUGUUGCGCAGUAAGGUAUAACCCACCCCUCUCCUCCUCCUCCCCCCCCCCGGGUGCCUCCCACUCAGCGGUGCCGGGCAGUUUCCCAAGAACAACCACAACAAUAGGAUGCCAUCUGUCAACAUCAUUGAGGUGUGACUGCCAGGACGUCUUUUCUUUAUCCGAAAGACUUUGCGUUCUCACAAACAUGUGAGCUCCUUUUUAAGCCCAUCGGCUUGUCAGGAUGAGGCCGGGCCUCCGGGCCCCUCGGCUGCAGCCCUUACUCCCUUUUGACACGGGACCUCGCUCUGAGGCAAAGCUGCAGGACUCCGGGGGAGGGGUGUGGCACUGCCUGGCCAGUGCUGGUCAGAGAGCAGAGUUGGCAAGAGCGACUGCGCCAUUGUCAAUGACUACUGUACCAUGGGGCAGCAGAGAUAAGGGCCAAAUGGCUCCGGCUAGUGAGGGGUCUGUAGAUAAACCAACCCAUGGGACCAAAGAGACUUUUUUUCUCUCUCUCUCACGUCGGCUGUCUUUGAGGGCGUUAUCAGCGACCACAGACCAGGAUCAUCCUAUUUUUCUUCACAACCUGUUUUCUACUCUUUUCAAGGUAAACGCUGUAGAUCAUUCAGUUCUAGAUUUACUUAUCAGACUUUUAACAAGGUGCCACCAGAACAGUCCUGCUGUUCUGUCCCAAUUUUUUUUUUCCAUUGUCCCCUCGGGCAGAAACUCUUGUCUCUUGUCUGCCGUCCUGCGGGAAAUGUUUUCAUUCUGACGAGCUUGUUUCCCCCCUCAGGGAGUCCAGACUCCACCUGGCUAAUGCAGGAGCCACUGCUCAGAUGUGCCGCGAUGACGCCAGAGCAGCUUAGAGGGAUCACUCAGCUCACCACCGGGCAUGAAUCAUCCAGUCUAAUCGGAAAACACACUCACUCAUAGUGAAAGGAACACAUAUAUUCAUUAAAGUCAGCACUUGUGAAACUUAUUUCUUGCUUUUAUCACAUAGCAGAUUUCUGAAGUGUUACAUUCCACAUCCUGGACAAGCCCUUUAGUAUUCCCUUGUGUCUUUCUCUGUGAGGGUGUUGGAUUUCAAAGCAUUCUGGGAAGCAAAAAAAGAACUUCACUGAUGGAGUCCAUUGAUCUACUUAAUGAACUUUUUAAAAAAAGGGGCUGGACUCUAUGGUAGUCUAUGGAGAUGUGAACUUGCCUCUGUGGAGAGAUCCCUUGUAUCAGCAAUAACAGCCUUUGGAGGAGCAAGGACUCAGACUCUGUAGCCUCUGCGUCUAAAACUCCACCUCCCAGCAUGCAAUGUUCAGACAGCUGAACAAAUUGGACAUCCAAAACGAGGAGAAUCCUGAGCCUCGUUUGCAGGUGAUCCAUUCUCCGAAACAUUCGGAGAAAAGCCUUUCAGCGCUGUUGUAGAAACUUUUAUUUCUGGUGGAAAGCAUGGAGAAAAAAAAAAGCCUUUUUAUGAGCCCAACUUUCAACCCAGAGACAUCCGUCUGACAUCCUGAACAGAAGGGCUUCUACCAGAACUUUUUUUCCACAAAGUUAACAUUUGUGUUGAAACCCUGUGGCUAAAAACAAUGCUAAGGUAUCAACAUGUGAUACUGUGCACUGCAUACUGCAAGGAUUUUAUCAAGCAAAUGGUGUUUUUGAGGGCUGAUUCAAACUCAGUAGUGCUGCCUUAAAUAUAUAUCUGACGAGUUAUUUAACAGGACGGAAGGCCCUGUGUCUCACACUUCUGUCACAUUCAUUAGCUUUCACGUGAUAUUUAAACAUGUGUGUGCAAAUUAAAAGGAAACAUGACAGAUUGAUGACAUGUAGAGUGAGCUGAGGUAUCUAAUGUGUAAAUACAUUUCAUAUUUCAUUCAGCCUUUCAUGAAACAGGAGAAGGGUAAUGUGGAAAAUGUAUAGACGGCUGAUGUAAAAGGGUAAAAACGUGAUUCUUAAUACAAUGCUUCUUUCUGUAACACUCAUGUACUAUCAUGUAUUUCUAUUACAUCAUGCCAUUGUGUUGUUUAUACGCAAUAAGAAAAGACUCUUUUUGAUGAGGAAACUGGAAAAAAAGAAAAAGAUAAUCGUUGAAAGCCAUAAUCUGGCAGAUAGUUAUUUAUUGUCAACUCAAACAGGCACUGAAGAUGGUUAGUAAGUUUAAUCCAUGGUCUAACACAGUGUGACACCAAGUAAAACGCCCCCUGGAGAGAUUCAUUUUUCUGACCGCUAGCUUAUGUAGUCUUAGCAACCUCAGACAAGACUGCAUGAUAACAAUAAACUGUAGUCUAUGCCUCCAACCAAGAAAUCGCCGUCAAAAAGCCACUCACAGCCACAAAUAAUGCUCAGCACCAAAGCACCAAACUUCAGCAACAGUCCCAGCACAUAGUUUGAGGCAUCAAACAUCUGCUAGCAUAGCCGGAAAGUGAACACAGCUCACCACUCUCCUGCAGC